GGAGAGGUGGCUGAGUGGCUGAAAGCACAGGUUUGCUAAACCUGCGUAGGGGAAACUCUACCGGGGGUUCGAAUCCCCCCCUCUCCGCCA
rnacentral:tRNA from 1 species